rnacentral:tRNA from 1 species
UCCUGACCAGUCCAAUGGUUAGGACUUUGCACUGCCAGUGCAGGGGCUGCAGGUUCAAUCCCUGGUCAGGGA